rnacentral:rRNA from 1 species
GAUGAACGCUCGCGAUAGGCUUAACACAUGCAAGUCGAGGGGCAGCACAAGGUAGCUUGCUAUCUGGGUGGCGACCGGCGCACGGGUGCGUAACGCGUAUGCAACUUGCCCUAUACAGGAGGAUAACCCGUCGAAAGACGGACUAAUACUGCGUAUGCUCACAACUUGGCAUCAAGUGGUGAGGAAAGAAAUUCGGUAUAGGAUAGGCAUGCGUCCCAUUAGCUUGUUGGUGAGGUAACGGCUCACCAAGGCAACGAUGGGUAGGGGAACUGAGAGGUUUAUCCCCCAAACUGGUACUGAGACACGGACCAGACUCCUACGGGAGGCAGCAGUGAGGAAUAUUGGUCAAUGGGAGCGAGCCUGAACCAGCCAAGUCGCGUGAAGGAUGACUGUCUUAUGGAUGGUAACCUUCUUUUAUACGGGAAUAACAAGAGUCACGUGUGACUCCCUGAAUGUACCGUAUGAAUAAGCAUCGGCUAACUCCGUG